AAAAUAACCACCCUGGGAAGUGAAACUGUGGCAGUGCCAAGGAGCUAAGGUGGGCAGUACUGCGCUUUUGGGUGAGGUCAAAACUCUGGAGGGAAGGCCAAGAAAAGAAAAUUCUGCCCAUGCCCCUCCUCCCAGCACCCAGGAGUGUGUUUUCUCUUCUCAGAAUCUCUGUCUGAUGUGCUAGCCUUUUUGUGUCAUUUCGACUGAAACGUCUCACAGCUCCAACCCACUGCCCCCAUAUCUUGCAUAGCUUUCUGUCCAGAUUUCUGAAUUAAAGGCUGGAUCCAGAGGGUGUCCCACUGUGCAUGGAUGGGGGGCUUCCUCCCACCCCAGUGGGAUGCUCCUGCUGCCAUUCUCACCCCGGAACGCCCCUGACUCAGCCACCUCCGGGGCGGUGAGAGGUGUGAGGGAUGAUCGGGGAGUGCCAUGCUCAGCAGCCUGAACCGUGUCAGGGAACCCAGGCAUUCCAGCCUGUGUCAUCCUCCCCCUCCCGUGAAGAGCCACAGCCACAUCCUCCAUGCCCUGCUGCACUUCCUGAGGAGUGAAAGAUGGUGGCUGUCAGCGUGUCAAGGAUGACGGGUGGCAAGAGGGAACGUGGUGAUUUACCAGAAGUCUUCAGAGGCAAGCCAUCUUCAAUUCAGAAGGGGAAUCCCACAUGUGUGUUGAAUAUGAGGCAUUGUUUAAGACACCUCCUGCCCUCACCACAUUGGCAAACUGACAGCGUCAACUUGAAACAAGUCUGCACAUUGUGGCCAUUUUCACUCCACAACAAAUGUUUACCAUGGAAUUCCUUGGAAUCAAAAAUCAUGUCCUCUUCUCCCGUGCCUAGAAGAAUGCCCGAGAGGUGUUCACUAUGUAUUUAUAGGGUGAAAUUUUCCUAUAUAUGUCUUAUAUCCCUUAAGAAAUUUUUUUCCAGACAAUAAAUGCUCCCUUUUCAAAGC
rnacentral:lncRNA from 1 species